rnacentral:tmRNA from 1 species
AUUGGCUUCGACGGAGGAGGCUGGUCCCAGAUUGCGAGCCGAGAGGCGCCGACCUCGAGAAAUCAGCGCAAAAAACAAGUGCCAAUCGCACAACUGUUUCCGCUCUUCCCCUCGCUGCAUAAGUGAGUGAAGGAGCCAUGGCUCUCACGUAGAGCCACGUCCGCCUAUCCCGCUCUCUGGCCGGAGAUAGAACGGGCGAUAAAAAGCCAUAGUGCCGCAUAGAACGCCGCUAACUAUGCGAAAGAGGGCCUUCGGGCCCAAGCGGCUGGUCAAAUGAGGUUUCUCGUCAGUUGUGACCCAUUUGGCGACAAAGACAGCUGACUACGCUCGUAGAGAUUUGAGGGUCUAUUCUUUCGGACGCGGGU